CCACAUUACACCCCCACCGGAACCUGAACCCGAAUCUGAAAAUCCGAACCUUAAACAACUAUUUCUCUUUUCAAUAUUUCAAAAUAUAUUACAUUAAAUCUAAAUUUUUAAAAUAUAAGUUCAAAUAUAAUAUCAAACUUUUAUAUACAUAUUAUAUGUAAUAUAAAAUAAAUUUGGGUUCGGAUCGAGUUAGGGUUCAGGUCAGGUACAGUUAAAAUUCAUAUCCGAAUUCAUAUCCGUCGGGUUUUUAUUUUUGAUAUUCAUACCCGAAACUAUAUCCGUUUAGUAUUGGAUAAAUCAGCUUCGUUCGAAUUCAAAUUCCGAUAAAAUUUCGGGUAUCCGUACCCAUUGACAUUCCUAGUCCUACACCCACAAACUCUUGAAAAAACUAUUAUCU
rnacentral:lncRNA from 1 species